rnacentral:lncRNA from 1 species
AUUUUAACAGAGGGAAAGGAAAGGGGAGGGGAAAGAUUUUUUUUAAUCGGAUAAGUGUUUGAUUCAAAAGACAGGAGAAUUUUAUUAAUAAUUUAUAUUUUUGUCCUUAUGAUUCUAUAUAAGUGAUAUGAUAUUCAAAUGUGAAAAAUACAUGAUUUUUUUUAUAAUCAGAUUUUAUGCUUUCAAGAAUGAAUUAGUAGAAAAUGAAGUGUUGAAUAAAGAAUUUGAAAUAUUAGAGAGAUUUUAAC